UACGUAGGCAGCGAGCGUUGUUCGGAGUUACUGGGCGUAAAGAGUGCGUAGGCGGUUUUCUAAGUUUGGUGUGAAAUCUCCCGGCUUAACUGGGAGGGUGCGCCGAAAACUGGAAGGCUUGAGUAUGGGAGAGGUAAGCGGAAUUCCUGGUGUAGCGGUGAAAUGCGUAGAUAUCAGGAGGAACACCUGCGGUGUAGACGGCUUACUGGACCAUAACUGACGUUCAGGUACGAAAGCGUGGGGAGCAAACAGG
rnacentral:rRNA from 1 species